rnacentral:rRNA from 1 species
CGGCACGCCUAACACAUGCAAGUCGAACGAAGUAGCAAUACUUAGUGGCAGACGGGUGAGUAACAUGUAGGUAUCUACCCUUUGGCCUGGAAUAACACGAGGAAACUUGUGCUAAUACCGGAUAAGUCUUUACGGAGAAAGCUUUAUGCACCAUUGGAUGAGCCUGCACUUGAUUAGUUUGUUGGUGGGGUAAUGGCCUACCAAGACUGUGAUCAAUAGCUGAUUUGAGAGGAUGAUCAGCCACAUUGGGACUGAGACACGGCCCAAACUCCUACGGGAGGCAGCAGUGGGGAAUCUUGCACAAUGGAGGAAACUCUGAUGCAGCGAUGCCGCGUGAGUGAAGAAGGCCCUUGGGUUGUAAAGCUCUUUCGUCGGGGAAGAAAAUGACUGUACCCGAAUAAGAAGGUCCGGCUAACUUCGUGCCAGCAGCCGCGGUAAUACGAAGGGACCUAGCGUAGUUCGGAAUUACUGGGCUUAAAGAGUUCGUAGGUGGUUGAAAAAGUUAGUGGUGAAAUCCCAGAGCUUAACUCUGGAACUGCCAUUAAAACUUUUCAGCUAGAGUAUGAUAGAGGAAAGCAGAAUUUCUAGUGUAGAGGUGAAAUUCGUAGAUAUUAGAAAGAAUACCAAUUGCGAAGGCAGCUUUCUGGAUCAUUACUGACGCUGAGGAACGAAAGCAUGGGUAGCGAAGAGGAUUAGAUACCCUCGUAGUCCAUGCCGUAAACGAUGUGUGUUAGACGUUGGAAAUUUAUUUUCAGUGUCGCAGCGAAAGCGAUAAACACACCGCCUGGGGAGUACGACC